AGCCUUGCGCAGUGGCAGUAUCGUAGCCUAUGAGGUUUAUCCGAGGCGAUUAUUGUUAGUUGAAAACUUUACCCAAUACCCCGUCUUGACGACUUGAAAUAUAGUCGGUUAUGGCAAUUUUUGUCAGUCUCUCAGGAGA
rnacentral:snRNA from 1 species